rnacentral:rRNA from 1 species
GGCCGCGGGAAUUCGAUUGAGUUUGAUCCUGGCUCAGGACGAACGCUGGCGGCGUGCCUAAUACAUGCAAGUCGAACGGAGAUAUUCGCUGAUGAAGUACUUCGGUAAUGAAUCUUGGAUAUCUUAGUGGCGGACGGGUGAGUAACGCGUGAGCAACCUGCCUUUCAGAGGGGGAUAACGUUUGGAAACGAACGCUAAUACCGCAUGACAUUAUCUUAUCGCAUGGUAGGAUAAUCAAAGGAGCAAUCCGCUGAAAGAUGGGCUCGCGUCCGAUUAGGUAGUUGGUGGGGUAACGGCCCACCAAGCCGACGAUCGGUAGCCGGACUGAGAGGUUGGACGGCCACAUUGGGACUGAGACACGGCCCAGACUCCUACGGGAGGCAGCAGUAAGGGAUAUUGGUCAAUGGGGGAAACCCUGAACCAGCAACGCCGCGUGAGGGAAGACGGUUUUCGGAUUGUAAACCUCUGUCCUCUGUGAAGAUGAUGACGGUAGCAGAGGANGAAGCUCCNGCUAACUACGUGCCAGCAGCCGCGGUAAUACGUAGGGAGCGAGCGUUGUCCGGAUUAACUGGGUGUAAAGGGUGCGUAGGCGGCUUGGCCAGUCAUUAAUGAAAUCCAUGGGCCUUACCCAUGAACUGCUAUUGAACUGUCAAGUUUGAUUGAAUUAAAAGUAAGCGGAUUUCCCGUGUUACCGUGAAAUGCUUAAAAUUGGGAAGGA